AUAGGUAACCAGAAAGUUCUAGAGUAGGAGAGGCAGGAAAGCAGGAGCUCGGACUCCUCUGGGGCUUCGGGAAAAGCCUUUUCCCCCUCCACACCCUUGUUGCUCAUGCUGCAGGACCUGCACCUCGGCCAGGCCUGAGGGCAGAAGUGUUCUUGUAUGUGGGGGGCAUUGCUCUGGUUUCAGGACAGUCUUAGUGGCUGGCCAUCGAGGUGGCUAGAACUUUAGAUGGAAGUCUUACUCCUACCAGCAGGAAGCCUAUUUCAGCUGCCAACAGCCACCUGGUCUUGUCUGGCCCUCAGGGCAUAGCCUGCCACCAUGGAAGGGACAGGUUGAGACCUGACUGUGACUGGCUCGGGGUGCAAUGUGGGGAGAGGGCCCAGGCUUAAGGAGUCCAUUCUGUCACCAGUCAGCUCGAAGGGGUGGGGCAGACGCGGCUGUGGCUCCUGGGCAGGUCCCUAGUCGCCUAGAGCCCCCAAAGCCGAGACCAGGGUUCUGUGAGGUGUUGGGAGGAGUCAGGGGAGGAGGAGUCAUAUGGAGGACUCACCAUGCUCUAGCAGCUGGUACUACCUGAGCAGAGUGCUUGCCCUCUCAUCUCUCCAGUCCUCCCUCCCAAGCCCAGCAGGGACAGUACAGUAGACCCCUCCUCCCCCACCAGAGUGCUCCGCAUGCUGCCAUGUCCCCAUCAUGGCUGAAGGCAGAGGCAGCAGCACAGAGGAGCCUGGAGACAGGAAGACUGAAGGUCCCCUGGAGUCCCUCUGGAUCCUGCACAGAAAGAGGACACUAGGAGCUAACGAAAUUCUUUGUGCACAGCCUGAGGAGUUGGCUUUCUGAGCCUUGGAGCUGCUGGUGUGGGACUCUGGUGUUUUUCCUGCCUUCCUGGGCUCCAAGACAUCCUAAGGAGAAAACCCCAUGCUCAGACACUUAGGCAGGACAGUUCCAGGACACUGGGAUUAAGCGGUGGUACCCGGCAGUUUCCUCAGACAGGUCGGGGCACUGCAUCCACUGCUGCUGUUAACCCGGGAGGUCCAGCGCCUGGCUCCUGGGGGUCCAGCUUGGCUGCCUUUUCCUAGGCCCCCCUCAGGCCUUGGCUCUUACAAUAGACUGCCACUUCUGGGACCCUUGCCUGAGUCUGGCUUCAUCUUUCUGAGGGUUCCCUUCACUGCCCCCUGGUGGCACAUCCAAGAAAGAAGCCCUGCCACUGGACAGGUAGCAACUAUGCCUGCUGUACCUGGCAAGAACGGGCUUGUUGAAGAGCCACAGAAGCUAACCCUGCUCUGCUCUGCGCUGCUCUGCUCUGAGGACCAGCACCUUCAUACCCCACUACCACCCUCCCUCCGUAGCCCUUGCUAACCUGGGGUUGCUGCUCUCACCACAUCCUGCACAGAGCCUCCCACACGUCAUUGUCCCUGUAAGCAAGGGAUCUUAGGCUGUCCUGCCUUGGGGGACUCCCACACUAGUGAGGUCAGAGGGCAGCUUGCCCAAGUUCAUUCCCUCCUACCAUUGGAGUCCCAGUCAGACUCAAGGCCUCCCACCACUGGCCCAGCAGAAAGUUGUGUGUGUGUUUGAGACCUGGUCUCUGUGUAGCCCUGGCUAUCCUGGAACUUGCUAUGUAGACCAGGCUGGCUUCGAAUUCAGAGAUCCACCCAUCCCUGUCUCCAGUGCUGGAAUGAAAAAUGAGCACCACCAUGCCCAGUAGAGUCUCCGCUCUCAUCUUGUCAAAUGUCCCUGAGAUCUCGAGCUGAAAUGAGGACAGUAUAAACUAAUUCUAAGCACUUGUCACAAAAGCAAGGGUGGUGGCAGUCAGAGGCUGAGUAACAGGGCGUGGGGCUGGCAGCAGGGUGCAGGGCCAGCAUCCUCGAGAAGUGCCUUUCCUGCAGGGUUGUGGCUCAGGUAGUCAUUCCCAAGAACUCAUUGGCUCUAGGCUUUGAGCCCCUGGCAGGCACUUAGAGGGGAGGAAAUGCCUGUGGCUAGCUCAGGCUGGGCCAAGGGAGUUUCCACCAUCCCUCCCAGUUCCAGCAGCAGUGAGAUCCCAGGGCCUCUGGCCACAUUGGGCCACAACAGCAGCUUCAUUCCUAGGCGACGGUCUGAGUCACCAUCUGUGGGCUCUGGCUCCUCACCAGCUGGGCUUGCAGCCUUAAGUUUGCCACAGUUUGGCCUCAGCUGAGUCUCCAUCACCACUUCGGCCAUUUUUCUCUGCUGUUUCCUUUCUUUAAGCAGAAAUGUGAUGCAAAUGGGUUCCAGGUCUGUGCCUGCUGUCACCCGCACACACUUCCAGGGCUGAUGUCAUGGGUUAGAUUCUGGUGGUGCCAGGUCAGAGGCCCCCCACACACUAUCACUUGUUGGCCACUGCAGGGCUUUGCAAAUAAAGUUUUGGUUUUUUACUGUCUUUAAAAUGUUCAAUUUAUGUAUAGGAGUAUUUCCCUUGCAUGUAUGUGUGUGCACCACAAGAGUGCCUGGUGCCCUCAGAGGUCAGAAAAGGGCAUUAGAUUCUCUAGACACACGGGGUCCUGGGAACUGAACCUGGGUCCUCUGCAAGAGCAACAUGUGCUCUUAACUGCUGAGCCAUCUCUCCAGUCCCUGUUUGUUUUUGAGACAGCCCAGGCUGGCCUCAUAAUCACUACAGAGUCAAGGAUGACCUUGAUCUGGUCCUCCUACCUCUGCCUCUUGAAUGCUGGGAUCACACUUGGGGCUGGGAAUAGGGCUCACUUUGCACGCUGAGCCAGCUCCCCGGGCCCUGUAAGUGAAAUUGACUUAGAGUCCGGCCAUGCCUGUGCACACUUCUUCCUGUCACUGCAGAGUUCAGACACGCAGGC
rnacentral:lncRNA from 1 species